rnacentral:tRNA from 1 species
GCCGGGUUGCCCUAGCCUGGUAGGGGGCAGAGGAUGAUGACCUAAGCCUGCUAACGUAUAGGGUAGGUAGCCUGUGUCCCUUUUUUGGGACGCGGGGGUUCAAAUCCCCCACCCGGCGCCA